GGAGGGUCCAAGCGUUAAUCGGAAUUACUGGGCGUAAAGCGCGCGUAGGCGUUUAGCAAGUUGAAUGUGAAAGCCCUGGGCUCAACCUAGGAACUGCAUUCAAAACUACUAAGCUAGAGUGCGAGAGAGGAGAGUAGAAUUUCUGGUGUAGCGGUGAAAUGCGUAGAUAUCAGAAGGAAUACCAAUGGCGAAGGCAGCUCUCUGGCUCGUCACUG
rnacentral:rRNA from 1 species